UACGUAGGGGGCGAGCGUUGUCCGGAUUUAUUGGGCGUAGAGAGCUCGUAGGCGGCUCGGUAAGUCGGAUGUGAAACCUCCAGGCUCAACCUGGAGACGCCAUCUGAUACUGCCGUGGCUUGAGUCCGGUAGAGGAGCAGGGAAUUCCUGGUGUAGCGGUGAAAUGCGCAGAUAUCAGGAGGAACACCAGCGGCGAAGGCGCUGCUCUGGGCCGGUACUGACGCUGAGGAGCGAAAGCGUGGGGAGCGAACAGG
rnacentral:rRNA from 1 species